rnacentral:rRNA from 1 species
UGGGGAAUAUUGGACAAUGGACCGAGAGUCUGAUCCAGCAAUUCUGUGUGCACGAUGACGUUUUUCGGAAUGUAAAGUGCUUUCAGUUGGGAAGAAAAAAAUGACGGUACCAACAGAAGAAGUGACGGCUAAAAACGUGCCAGCAGCCGCGGUAAUACGUAUGUCACAAGCGUUAUCCGGAUUUAUUGGGCGUAAAGCGCGUCUAGGUGGUUAUGUAAGUCUGAUGUGAAAAUGCAGGGCUCAACUCUGUAUUGCGUUGGAAACUGUAUAACUAGAGUACUGGAGAGGUAAGCGGAACUACAAGUGUAGAGGUGAAAUUCGUAGAUAUUUGUAGGAAUGUCGAUGGGGAAGCCAGCUUACUGGACAGAUACUGACGCUAAAGCGCGAAAGCGUGGGUAGCAAACAGG